rnacentral:lncRNA from 1 species
CCGCAGUCGCUUCAGGCAGAGUCAAGCAGAUUCACUUUUAAGGCCCUGCCAGAAUGAACAGAGGACUGUGCCCACACCGUUGACCUGCCGUGACAAUAGAGGGCGUUGUGUGUCUCCCUCUCCUUUCGUCUGCACUGGAAUGAUUUCCACAGAGAAGCCCACGUUCAAGGGUAUUUCCCUCCCUGUGUAACCCUGACCGAGGCCUCAUGAACUUGCUUGCAUUGUCUCAAAAAUGUACAGACAUCCAGGAGACACUCAGGGGUUGCUCCAUGUUUUUGCCCAGAAAUG